GAUUAAGUUAUUAAGGGCGCACGGUGGAUGCCUUGGCACUAGAAGCCGAUGAAGGACGUUACUAACGACGAUAUGCUUUGGGGAGCUGUAAGUAAGCUUUGAUCCAGAGAUUUCCGAAUGGGGAAACCCAGCAUGAGUUAUGUCAUGUUAUCGAUAUGUGAAUACAUAGCAUAUCAGAAGGCACACCCGGAGAACUGAAACAUCUUAGUACCCGGAGGAAGAGAAAGAAAAUUCGAUCCCCUUAGUAGCGGCGAGCGAAACGGGAAGAGCCCAAACCAACAAGCUUGCUUGUUGGGGUUGUAGGACACUCUAUACGGAGUUACAAAGGACGACAUUAGACGAAUCAUCUGGAAAGAUGAAUCAAAGAAGGUAAUAAUCCUGUAGUCGAAAAUGUUGUCUCUCUUGAGUGGAUCCUGAGUACGACGGAGCACGUGAAAUUCCGUCGGAAUCUGGGAGGACCAUCUCCUAAGGCUAAAUACUCUCUAGUGACCGAUAGUGAACCAGUACCGUGAGGGAAAGGUGAAAAGCACCCCGGAAGGGGAGUGAAAUAGAACCUGAAACCGUGUGCUUACAAGUAGUCAGAGCCCGUUAAUGGGUGAUGGCGUGCCUUUUGUAGAAUGAACCGGCGAGUUACGAUUUGAUGCAAGGUUAAGCAGUAAAUGUGGAGCCGUAGCGAAAGCGAGUCUGAAUAGGGCGUUUAGUAUUUGGUCGUAGACCCGAAACCAGGUGAUCUACCCUUGGUCAGGUUGAAGUUCAGGUAACACUGAAUGGAGGACCGAACCGACUUACGUUGAAAAGUGAGCGGAUGAACUGAGGGUAGCGGAGAAAUUCCAAUCGAACCUGGAGAUAGCUGGUUCUCUCCGAAAUAGCUUUAGGGCUAGCCUCAAGUGAUGAUUAUUGGAGGUAGAGCACUGUUUGGACGAGGGGCCCCUCUCGGGUUACCGAAUUCAGACAAACUCCGAAUGCCAAUUAAUUUAACUUGGGAGUCAGAACAUGGGUGAUAAGGUCCGUGUUCGAAAGGGAAACAGCCCAGACCACCAGCUAAGGUCCCAAAAUAUAUGUUAAGUGGAAAAGGAUGUGGCGUUGCCCAGACAACUAGGAUGUUGGCUUAGAAGCAGCCAUCAUUUAAAGAGUGCGUAAUAGCUCACUAGUCGAGUGACACUGCGCCGAAAAUGUACCGGGGCUAAACAUAUUACCGAAGCUGUGGAUUGUCCUUUGGACAAUGGUAGGAGAGCGUUCUAAGGGCGUUGAAGCAUGAUCGUAAGGACAUGUGGAGCGCUUAGAAGUGAGAAUGCCGGUGUGAGUAGCGAAAGACGGGUGAGAAUCCCGUCCACCGAUUGACUAAGGUUUCCAGAGGAAGGCUCGUCCGCUCUGGGUUAGUCGGGUCCUAAGCUGAGGCCGACAGGCGUAGGCGAUGGAUAACAGGUUGAUAUUCCUGUACCACCUAUAAUCGUUUUAAUCGAUGGGGGGACGCAGUAGGAUAGGCGAAGCGUGCGAUUGGAUUGCACGUCUAAGCAGUAAGGCUGAGUAUUAGGCAAAUCCGGUACUCGUUAAGGCUGAGCUGUGAUGGGGAGAAGACAUUGUGUCUUCGAGUCGUUGAUUUCACACUGCCGAGAAAAGCCUCUAGAUAGAAAAUAGGUGCCCGUACCGCAAACCGACACAGGUAGUCAAGAUGAGAAUUCUAAGGUGAGCGAGCGAACUCUCGUUAAGGAACUCGGCAAAAUGACCCCGUAACUUCGGGAGAAGGGGUGCUCUUUAGGGUUAACGCCCAGAAGAGCCGCAGUGAAUAGGCCCAAGCGACUGUUUAUCAAAAACACAGGUCUCUGCUAAACCGUAAGGUGAUGUAUAGGGGCUGACGCCUGCCCGGUGCUGGAAGGUUAAGAGGAGUGGUUAGCUUCUGCGAAGCUACGAAUCGAAGCCCCAGUAAACGGCGGCCGUAACUAUAACGGUCCUAAGGUAGCGAAAUUCCUUGUCGGGUAAGUUCCGACCCGCACGAAAGGCGUAACGAUUUGGGCACUGUCUCAACGAGAGACUCGGUGAAAUCAUAGUACCUGUGAAGAUGCAGGUUACCCGCGACAGGACGGAAAGACCCCGUGGAGCUUUACUGUAGCCUGAUAUUGAAAUUCGGCACAGCUUGUACAGGAUAGGUAGGAGCCUUUGAAACGUGAGCGCUAGCUUACGUGGAGGCGCUGGUGGGAUACUACCCUAGCUGUGUUGGCUUUCUAACCCGCACCACUUAUCGUGGUGGGAGACAGUGUCAGGCGGGCAGUUUGACUGGGGCGGUCGCCUCCUAAAAGGUAACGGAGGCGCUCAAAGGUUCCCUCAGAAUGGUUGGAAAUCAUUCAUAGAGUGUAAAGGCAUAAGGGAGCUUGACUGCGAGACCUACAAGUCGAGCAGGGUCGAAAGACGGACUUAGUGAUCCGGUGGUUCCGCAUGGAAGGGCCAUCGCUCAACGGAUAAAAGCUACCCCGGGGAUAACAGGCUUAUCUCCCCCAAGAGUUCACAUCGACGGGGAGGUUUGGCACCUCGAUGUCGGCUCAUCGCAUCCUGGGGCUGUAGUCGGUCCCAAGGGUUGGGCUGUUCGCCCAUUAAAGCGGUACGCGAGCUGGGUUCAGAACGUCGUGAGACAGUUCGGUCCCUAUCCGUCGUGGGCGUAGGAAAUUUGAGAGGAGCUGUCCUUAGUACGAGAGGACCGGGAUGGACAUACCUCUGGUGUACCAGUUGUCGUGCCAACGGCAUAGCUGGGUAGCUAUGUGUGGACGGGAUAAGUGCUGAAAGCAUCUAAGCAUGAAGCCCCCCUCAAGAUGAGAUUUCCCAACUUCGGUUAUAAGAUCCCUCAAAGAUGAUGAGGUUAAUAGGUUCGAGGUGGAAGCAUGGUGACAUGUGGAGCUGACGAAUACUAAUCGAUCGAAGACUUAAUCAA
rnacentral:rRNA from 1 species